rnacentral:rRNA from 1 species
AGUUCGAUUAUGGCUCAGAUUGAACGCUGGCGGGAUGCUUUACACAUGCAAGUCGAACGGCAGCACGGACUGGUCUGGUGGCGAGGGCGAACGGGUGAGUAAUGUAUCGGAACGUGCCUAGCGGGGAUAACUACGCGAAAAAAGCGUAGCUAAUACCGCAUACGGCCCUUCGGGAAAGCGGGGGACCUUCGGGCCUCGCACUAUUAGAGCGGCCGAUAUCGGAUUAGCUAGCUGGUGGGGUAACGCUCACCUGCUGGCGACGAUCCGGGCUGGUUUGAGAGGACGACCAGCCACACUGGGACUUGAGACAUGGCCCAGAUUCCUACGGAGGCAGCAGUGGGGAAUUUUGGACAAUGGGGAAACUCUGAUCCAGCCAUCCUGGCGUGUGCGAUGAAGGCCUUCGGGUUGUAAAGCACUUUUUGGCAGGAAAGAAACGGCACGGGAUAAUACCCCGUGCAACUGAUUGUGUCUGCAGAAUAAGCACUGGCUAACUACGUGCCAGCAGCCGCGUAAUACGUAGGGUGCAAGCGUUAAUCGGAAUUACUGGGCGUAAAGCGUGCGCAGGCGGUUCGGAAAGAAAGAUGUGAAAUCCCAGAGCUUAACUUUGGAACUGCAUUUUUAACUACCGAGUUUGAGGUCGAGGGAGGUGGAAUUCCGCGUGUAGCAGUGAAAUGCGUAGAUAUGCGGAGGAACACCGAUGGCGAAGGCAGCCUCCUGGGAUAAACACUGACGCUCAUGCACGAAAGCGUGGGGAGCAAACAGGAUUAGAUACCCUGGUAGUCCACGCCCUAAACGAUGUCAACUAGCUGGGCCUUUCGGGCUCUGGUAGCGCAGCUAACGCGUGAAGUUGACCGCCUGGGGAGUACGGUCGCAAGAUUAAAACUCAAAGGAAUUGAUGGGACCCGCACAAGCGGUGGAUGAUGUGGAUUAAUUCGAUGCACGCGAAAAACCUUACCUACCCUUGACAUGUCUGGAAUCCGAAGAGAUUUGGGAGUGCUCGCAAGAGAACCGGAACACAGGUGCUGCAUGGUUGUCGUCAGCUCGUGUCGUGAGAUGUUGGGUUAAGUCCCGCAACGAGCGCAACCCUUUGUCAUUAGUUGCUACGAAAGGGCACUCUAAUGAGACUGCCGGUGACAAACCGGAGAAGGUGGGGAUGACGUCAAGUCCCUCAUGGCCCUUAUGUAGGGCUUCACACGUCAUACAAUGGUCGGGACACAGAGGGUCGCCAACCCGCGAGGGGGCCAAUCCCAGAAACCCGAUCGUAGUCCGGAUCGCAGUCUGGCAACUCGACUGCGUGAGAAGUCGGAAUCGCUAGUAAUCGCGGAUCAGCAUGUCGCGGUGAAUACGUUCCCGGGUCUUGUACACACCGCCCGUCACACCAUGGGAGUGGGUUUUACCAGAAGUAGUUAGCCUAACCGUAAGGAGGGCGAUUACCACGGCAGGAUUCGCGACUGGGGUGAACUGCAAUAAGGUAA